rnacentral:rRNA from 1 species
AUGUACAACGGAGGCGACCACUACGACGGGAACGGCGGCGGCGCCGCCAACGCCAACAGCCUCUUCAGCGGCGGCGGGUUCAUGCCCUCGCAGACCACCAACACCCCGGAGGGCAGCGGCGGCAUCACCAAGACUCGCGGCGCGCAGACGCUGCUCCCGCUCACCGUCAAGCAGAUUAUGGACGCGUCCCAGACCAACGACGACAAGUCCAGUUUCGCUGUCAAUGGCACCGAGGUGUCCACGGUUAGGCUUGUAGGACGCAUGAUGAAUAAGGCAGAGCGGAUGACAGAUGUACAAUUCAUUCUUGAUGAUGGUACAGGCAGGAUAGAAGUGAAUCGCUGGGAAAAUGAGACAUCGGACACUACAGAAAUGGGUUUAGUCAAGGAUGGUGACUAUGUUAUUGUCAAUGGUGGUCUGAAAAGCUUUCAAGGGAAGCGUCACAUUGUUGCUUAUUCCGUGCGGCUUGUAACCAACUACAAUGAUAUAACACAUCACUUUCUGUACUGCAUUUAUGUGCAUUUGGAUCUUGCCAAGGCUAAGAAAUCUGGGACACAGCCUCAAGUAACUGCUAAUGCAUCAUGGAACCAAGCUCCACCCCCUAAUAAUCAGGCCCCAACACUAUCUGCAUCUGGGAAUGCUGGUGGGCAAGAUUUAACUGAUAUGGUCAUGAAUGUUUUUCAUGACCCAGUGCUUGUAAACCUGGAGCAUGGAGUUAGUAUCGAACAGGUUGCAAGCCGUCUUAACAUAUCAGAUGCACUUGCCAGGUCGACUGUUACACAUCUUAUUGAUGUUGGCAACCUCUAUCCAACUAUCGAUGACAACCAUUACAAGUCUACACUGAAUGGUUGA